UUUGGGAAGAAAGAGUUUAUUUGGCUUACAUGCCCCAGUCAGUCCAUCAUGAGAUCAUGAGGGGAAGUCGGGGCAAGAGCUCAAGGCAGGAACUGAAGCAAAAGCCUUGGAAGAAUGCUGCUUACGGGGCUUGCUCCCCAUGGCUUGCUCAGCCCACUGCCCAAGGGUGGGCUGAGCUCUCCAACAUCAAUUAAUCAAGAAAAUGCCCCCACAGUCUUGCCCACAGGCCUGUCUGUCGUAGGAGGCCCUCAGCUGACGUUCCACUCUCCCCAGAGAUGUCUAGCUUUGUAUCAAGUGGAUACUAACCAGCACAAUCUUUCACCAUACUCCUUUUACUGAAGUCUCUCCUUCAAACCUGAUGAGUAGGCAUCGUUUUCAGUGGUCAGGUUGAGUUAUCUGGUGUGGAUGAUUGAGCUCAAGUUCGGAGGGUAUGUUCACAACAUCAGCUAACUUCAGUACUGCCUUCCAGCCUUACCAAUAAACAAGGAGACACCAUGUGCCACAGCACCACUAUUAGGAAUCCAACUAUAACAUACCACAGUGAGAACAAGACGAAUUAUAGCCAUAGAUGUGGUCCAAUCCACCACCAUGAGGUUCCUGUACAUUGUUGUGUUUGUAAAAGAAGGGACCUCUGCCUACCUCAUCAUGGAGCUAAAACACAGAAUCAGUGGGUUAACUUUUUUUUUAACAUACAUACAGAAUACCCUGUGGUUUUAUGUGUGGGAACAUUAAUCUGGCUUGAGGUUUCUUCAAAUUUCUAAAACUAAAAUAUAUAUGACUUCAUCGUCACUAGAAUUCCUAGAUAAAAAGAUCAUCAUUGUGAUGGUUUAAAGUGCAUGAACUUGAAUAUUUGAGAAGCUCAGCUGUAGACUGUUUAUUGCUGUUUUGUUCAUACCAGAACCUUUAGAGAUCAGCUUAUAAAACCAUGAAUCAAGCUAGACUACUCUAAUGUGGUGUGUGAAGAAUGUUAUGUUUUUCCCUAAAGAGUUCUGUUUUGUAAUAGAAUAUUUCCAAAUAAGUCAAACAUCGAGAACAGCUCUACAUUAAGAGAAAAUGGUUGGAAAAAAAUAUGUUUUAAAAUCUGAGGGCCAGUGAGAUGUCUCAGUGGGUAAAACCACUUGUGAUGCAAACCUGACGGCCUGAGUUCCAUCCUGGUGCCCACCAGGAGGAGAGAAGUCACUGUCAAAGUUGACCUCUGACCUCCACAUGGGCACCACUGCACAAAUGCACCUGCAUACUUAACAUGCGUACACCCAACUAAACCUUAAAAUAUUUAAAGUAAUUAUAAAAUAUGUAAAACAUACAUGUCUUAGUCAAAUUUGUUAUGCAUAAAAACAUGGAAAACAUUCUUUAGUAUGCAUAAUAUCACUGUAAUCCUGAAAGCUUUAACAAUAUAAGCAAUGCAGGUAACACAAGAAAAAUCAAGUCAAUUAGAAACCAUGGACUUGAAGAUGAUACAAACUUACUGUGGUCUGAAUCUGAAGAAAAUAGAAGGUUGGAUUAGAAAGUAGUUGAUAGCACAGGAAAGAGAAUUCUGUGGACUCUGGAGCCUGACCCCUGAGCUGGGCCGAGCAGGGCCAGCAGCACUGGGCCCUUACCCUAGGAACAGGGUACUGACAGUAAUAGCGCCACCCUUGGGUUGUCCGUGUAAUGCCAAGACUCCUUAGGAAAGCCAACUCUCUAAGUU
rnacentral:lncRNA from 1 species